rnacentral:rRNA from 1 species
GACGAACGCUGGCGGCGUGCUUAACACAUGCAAGUCGAACGGAAAGGCCCUGCUUUUGUGGGGUGCCCGAGUGGCGAACGGGUGAGUAACACGUGAGUAACCUGCCCUUGACUUUGGGAUAACUUCAGGAAACUGGGGCUAAUACCGGAUAGGAGCUCCUGCUGCAUGGUGGGGGUUGGAAAGUUUCGGCGGUUGGGGAUGGACUCGCGGCUUAUCAGCUUGUUGGUGGGGUAGUGGCUUACCAAGGCUUUGACGGGUAGCCGGCCUGAGAGGGUGACCGGCCACAUUGGGACUGAGAUACGGCCCAGACUCCUACGGGAGGCAGCAGUGGGGAAUAUUGCACAAUGGGCGGAAGCCUGAUGCAGCAACGCCGCGUGCGGGAUGACGGCCUUCGGGUUGUAAACCGCUUUCGCCUGUGACGAAGCGUGAGUGACGGUAAUGGGUAAAGAAGCACCGGCUAACUACGUGCCAGCAGCCGCGGUGAUACGUAGGGUGCGAGCGUUGUCCGGAUUUAUUGGGCGUAAAGGGCUCGUAGGUGGUUGAUCGCGUCGGAAGUGUAAUCUUGGGGCUUAACCCUGAGCGUGCUUUCGAUACGGGUUGACUUGAGGAAGGUAGGGGAGAAUGGAAUUCCUGGUGGAGCGGUGGAAUGCGCAGAUAUCAGGAGGAACACCAGUGGCGAAGGCGGUUCUCUGGGCCUUUCCUGACGCUGAGGAGCGAAAGCGUGGGGAGCGAACAGGCUUAGAUACCCUGGUAGUCCACGCUGUAAACGGUGGGUACUAGGUGUGGGGUCCAUUCCACGGGUUCCGUGCCGUAGCUAACGCUUUAAGUACCCCGCCUGGGGAGUACGGCCGCAAGGCUAAAACUCAAAGGAAUUGACGGGGCCCCGCACAAGCGGCGGAGCAUGCGGAUUAAUUCGAUGCAACGCGUAGAACCUUACCUGGGUUUGACAUGGAUCGGGAGUGCUCAGAGAUGGGUGUGCCUCUUUUGGGGUCGGUUCACAGGUGGUGCAUGCCUGUCGUCAGCUCGUGUCGUGAGAUGUUGGGUUAAGUCCCGCAACGAGCGCAACCCUUGUUCACUGUUGCCAGCACGUUAUGGUGGGGACUCAGUGGAGACCGCCGGGGUCAACUCGGAGGAAGGUGGGGAUGACGUCAAGUCAUCAUGCCCCUUAUGUCCAGGGCUUCACGCAUGCUACAAUGGCUGGUACAGAGAGUGGCGAGCCUGUGAGGGUGAGCGAAUCUCGGAAAGCCGGUCUCAGUUCGGAUUGGGGUCUGCAACUCGACCUCAUGAAGUCGGAGUCGCUAGUAAUCGCAGAUCAGCAACGCUGCGGUGAAAACGUUCCCGGGGCU